AUUGAACGCUGGCGGCAUGCCUAACACAUGCAAGUCGAACGGGAGUAGCAAUACUCUAGUGGCGGACGGGUGAGUAAUGCAUAGGAAUCUGCCCACGGGUGGGGGACAACAUGGGGAAACUCAUGCUAAUACCGCAUACGCCCUACGGGGGAAAGCGGGGGACCUUCGGGCCUCGCGCCGGUGGAUGAGCCUAUGUCCGAUUAGCUAGUUGGGAGGGUAAGAGCCUACCAAGGCGACGAUCGGUAGCUGGUCUGAGAGGAUGACCAGCCACACUGGGACUGAGACACGGCCCAGACGCCUACGGGAGGCAGCAGUGGUGAAUAUUGGACAAUGGGGGCAACCCUGAUCCAGCAAUGCCGCGUGUGUGAAGAAGGCCUGCGGGUUGUAAACCUCUUUCACCUGUGACGAAGUCUCUGAUUGUUGGUGGGGGUGACGGUAGCGGGAGAAGAAGCACCGGCCAACUACGUGCCAGCCGCCGCCGUAACAC
rnacentral:rRNA from 1 species